rnacentral:tRNA from 1 species
UCUAUUAUGGCAGAAUAGUGCAGAGGACUUAAACCCCUAAUAUAAAGGUUAACCUUUUUAUAGAA